GAUGAACGCUGGCGGCGUGCUUAACACAUGCAAGUCGAACGGAAAGGCCCUGCGUUUGUGGCGUGCUCGAGUGGCGAGCGCGUGAGUAACACGUGAGUAAACCGCCCUUGACUUUGGGAUAACACCAGGAAAAUGGGGCGAAAACCGGAUAGGAGCUCCUGCUGCAUGGGGGGGGAUGGAAAGUGUCGGCGGUUGGGGAUGGACUCGCGGCUUACGAGCUUGUUGGUGGGGUAGGGGUUGACCAAGGUUUUGACGGGUAGCCGGCAUGAGAGGGUGACCGGCCACAUUAGUACUGCGAUACGGCGCAGACUCCUACGGUAGGCAGCAGUCGGGAAUAUUGCACAAUGGGCGCACGCCUGAGGCAGCAACCCCGCGUGCGGGAUGACGGCCUUCGGGGUGUAAACCGCUUUCGCCGUUGACGAAGCGGGAGUGACGGUAAUGGGUAAAGAAGCACCGGCUAACUACGUG
rnacentral:rRNA from 1 species